rnacentral:rRNA from 1 species
AUGCCUACGGGACGCAGCAGUAGGGAAUUUUGCGCAAUGGGCGAAAGCCUGACGCAGCAACACCGCGUGAAUGUUAAGCCCUUCGGGGUGUAAAGUUCUGUCAAUAGGGACGGAUUUUGACUGUACCUAUAAAGGAAGCACCGGCCAACUCCGUGCCAGCAGCCGCGGUAAUACGGGGGGUGCAAGCGUUGUCCGGAAUCAUUGGGCGUAAAGCGUUCGUAGGCGGCAAGGUAAGUCUGAUGUUAAAGCCCGGGGCUCAACUCCGGUUCGGCAUUGGAUAUUAUCUAGCUGGAAUGAGGAAGGGG